ensembl:lncRNA
GAAAGCUUUAGGCUACUACAACCUGUCUGAGAGUUGCCGCCAUGGCGAGUGAUAACAAUGCAUUUCAGUGCUGGAAAUUUAAAAAUAAUUUCAGAGGAAACAUCCAAGAACUUUAUUGAUGCAAGACACAACAUCGAGUCAGCUUGAUGUGAUGGAAGAUGCAUCGGCAAGUUCCUCUACCCCUGUGGCUACACAACCACCUUUGAAGCAAGCAAGGAUAGAAUCAGUUUCUGGUCCAUCUCUGGUUCCUCGUCCACCUCUGGAAGUCCACCUCUAACCCCCCCCCCC